CUCCUCUCUUCCUACCGUUCUUCAGCUCUGUCUCUGUUUACCAUGUUUCAAAAGGUAGACAUUUCUACUAGCAGCGGCCGGAGGUUGACGGCACGCUGAAACAAACCGGCCAGUGGGGGGACAGGAGUGACAGUCAUUUACAUUGGCAGCACGCGGUUGCCCCUCACGCUGUGUCUCCAUAUACCGCUAUCUCCCCCGCUCUCUUCACCUCCCACUCUCUCUCUGUAGCUCAUUGUUUCUACUUGUCUCUCUCUCUUAUUCCCUCUCUCUUCACCUCCCUCUCUCUUCACCUCCCUCUCUCUCUCUCUGUACCUCAUUCAUUCUACCUGUCCCUCUCCCUCACUCUAUCUACCUCUCUUUUUCUACCUCUGCCUCUCAAUUCCUCCCUUCCUUGCUCUCGCUCACUCUCUACCUUUAUCUGUCUCUCCUUCACACUCUUUUUCUCACUCACGCUUUCUAAAUCUAUACUCUUUCUUCUCCACCUCUCUUUUUUUUCUCUAGGUCCAUCUCUCUCUCACUGCUAUCUUAUUCCCGGUGCAAUCCGCCGAGAAAGAAAGGCUAAGAGAAAAGCAAGCAGGAGGCACUUUUUACAGAAUAUUCGUGUCUCAGCCCUGACCACAAUGAAACCCUGGCAGCUCGCUGGAUUGGUGGGAAAUGUCCUUCAGACUUGCUUCUCUCACAGAGCAGCUGCUGUACUGCAGAUGACAUGCUGUUUCCCCAGAGAGCCCG
ensembl:lncRNA